CGGAAGUGAGCAGUGACUGAGAACAAGUUCCACGUUAGCGUUUUUAUUGUUAUUUAGACGCGUAUUAAUAACACCCUGGAACUCAACAUAUGACUCCUUUAGCUGCACAGCAUCACAUACAUGGUAUUGUUUAAUUGACGUUGAAGACAGGACUUGGUUGAUAUAUGUUAUCUAGGUGACGCUAGCUAGCUGCUAACAAUGUCAAACAGUAUGGUUUUUCACACUCAAAUAGCCUCCGUCAUGGAGGUGCUAGCGAAUGCAGCCGUGGCAGAGGUCUGUAAACUCGUAGACGACGACUAUGCAGUGUUUCGUUUGGAAAUAACUCAAAGCCAGAAAGAAAACAGGGGAUUACGGAAGAAACUACAGCUGCUUGAAUUGAAGGUGGCACGGGAGCGCGCAGAGAGAACCAAUAGGGUCAAGAUCCUCGACCGAUACGGAGCAGGAAUGCCAAGAGGUGAAGGACAUUUUACUGGAGGCUACAGGAGCUUUGUGAAUCCAGUGGGACACCAUACAUGGAGAGAUGACCAACCAAUCACUGUUGAUGAGGGGAGUGGAACCUCAACCCAGCAUGUUAUCAUGAUAGAGUCUGCAGAGGCUGCAGGUCCUGGUGUCAAGCAGGGUCGGACUGAAGAAGAGGACCCACAACACAGCAGAGACAUCCAGACUGGAGUGACUGGAGCACCCCCUGUAGCCACGGAGGACCCCACCCCCGUCGCUCGACGAAGCAUCACGGAGGAUGAGGAGGAUCCAGAGGUGCUGCUGGUGAAGGAGGAGGGGUGUGAGGAGGGUCUGGGGAACCCUGAGAGGACCAUGGCCAUGGAGGAUAACCAGACAAAAACUCCUCCAGAACCCACAGAGGAACCAACUGAAGAGCACAGGACCACAUACAGUCUCACUGAGCCAGUAGACAUGGAGGAUGGGAAGCCUGAUCUACUGCUAGUCAAAGAGGAGGCAAUAGAAGACGGACCAGAGAGCAUUGAUCUGCUGAGUGGACUAAAGAUGGGGGAGCAAGGUGGUUGGCAGGAGGCUAACAGAGGAGACUGGGUGGCCAUCUUGGAUUCCCAGACCGAGACAGGUGCAGCCAAGGCUCUAGGGAACAACAUCACUGAGCAGGCCAGGACCAGAGGUGGCAUAGUGGAGGUCAGUGGAUGGGACAGCAUCCUCAACUCUGAGCUGGGGAACAACACUGUUAACCACAACCAGAAACAGACAGUGGAACACAAAACAACUGAACAUAGUCUCCAUGACAACAGAAUGGCUGAGACUAGGGCGAGACAUAGAUUUGGUCUGCAGGUACGAGGUGGUGUCCAUAUGGGAACAGACACUGACUCGGCUAGCGAUGCUCCGUCCUGCUCCUAUAGUUGUGAUUCAGAGAGACUGAUGACGCCUCAGGUUAACCCGCUAACAGGUGCUGCCUUCAGCCUGCCUUCUAUAGGAUCUAUCAACUGGAACAUGGACCCUGAGACAACACAGACACUCCCUGGCCUUCGUCCUCUUCACACUCUCCUGUUAAACCAGACCUCAGACAAUGCCAGUGCCUCAACACUAAAUGGGUACACAAGCCCAUUGACAAAUGACAGUAGUAGCAAUCCUAUCAGUAGAUCUGGUGGCAAGGAGAAGCGCUUCCCGUGUUCGUUCUGUGGGAAAGCCUUCAGUUUCCGCAAACAGGUGGAGAUCCACCAGAGGAUGCACACAGGGGAGAAACCAUUCAGCUGCCACCUUUGUCGGGCCAGUUUUUCACAAUCAUUCAGCCUGAAGAGGCACCAGAGAGUCCACACAGGGGAGAAACCCUACAGCUGUCCCCAGUGUGAGAAGAGGUUCUCCCACCAGCACCAUUUGAAGGUGCACCUGAAGAUCCACACGGGAGAGAGGCCAUUCGCCUGUACGCACUGCGGGAAGAGCUUCUCAGAGAGGAGAUAUCUCAGGAUACACCAGCAGCAAAUGCACAUAGCCCAUGUAUAGAGUACAGUGACAUGUAUGUAGUACUAGUUAGUUAGUUUGUUUGUUUAGUUAAUUCUGUUGGUUUUGGAUGUAGUAGGGAACUAGAUGAGGUGAACUGAGCAAAGAAUGAGUAUAAUGUGUGAUGGUGUCUGUAAAAAUGUUUCACUGAUUAAGACUAACAAUUUUGUCCUGUUUUGAAAUGGGGAAAGUAUUUGUCCUUAUGUUUACUUGACAUGAAGAAGUGAAGCUGUGUGUAAUGUUGAACUUUUUCCAAAGCAUUCUAAAAUGUAUUUCAUCAAAGCGAGGUUUCCAGAUUUACAGAAAAGUCUGCAAUCCGUGAGGACCUGCUGAUAUCUAGUAUUGCUGGCGGGAGAGACUGGACCUCUGAAGUGGCUGGCCACAGUCCCUGGCCCUGGAUCAAAAGCCUU